CGACUGUUCUCGUGAGCCCAUGCAGAAGGCCACUGUAUUCUCAAGGGAUGGCAAAAGGUACACUGGACGCUGCUGUCAAUUUUUGUGACUUCUGAGAGUCUGCAGGAAGGUAUGGUAUAGUGUCUAGAAAAAAACUGUCUGGCAGUGAAUGGAUUUUUUAAAGGGACAUCUCUAGCUGUCAAGAAGUUUAAUCAUUUUUUGGACUAACAGCAAAGCCAAAGGAACAACGUAAAGGACAGAAGAUAAUAAUGUCAUACAUGCAAGUGAAUGGAAGAUAAGGCACAUAUUCAGACACUGCCACGAAAGGCACCUCACCUCAGUAUAUGCAGGGGUUACUUGAGAAGACAAAAGCCAUAACGAAAAACAUCUCCCAUACCUCACUUUUUUCCCCUCAGAAUUUAUUGGUAAGUACAACAUCAUAUGACACGGGAUAUCCCUUUGUUCCACUUAGAUCAGCUG
ensembl:lncRNA